rnacentral:rRNA from 1 species
AUGAACGCUAGCUACAGGCUUAACACAUGCAAGUCGAGGGGCAUCAGGAAGAAAGCUUGCUUUCUUUGCUGGCGACCGGCGCACGGGUGAGUAACACGUAUCCAACCUGCCCUUUACUCGGGGAUAGCCUUUCGAAAGAAAGAUUAAUACCCGAUGGCAUAAUGAUUCCGCAUGGUUUCAUUAUUAAAGGAUUCCGGUAAAGGAUGGGGAUGCGUUCCAUUAGGUUGUUGGUGAGGUAACGGCUCACCAAGCCUUCGAUGGAUAGGGGUUCUGAGAGGAAGGUCCCCCACAUUGGAACUGAGACACGGUCCAAACUCCUACGGGAGGCAGCAGUGAGGAAUAUUGGUCAAUGGGCGGUAGCCUGAACCAGCCAAGUAGCGUGAAGGAUGAAGGCUCUAUGGGUCGUAAACUUCUUUUAUAUAAGAAUAAAGUGCAGUAUGUAUACUGUUUUGUAUGUAUUAUAUGAAUAAGGAUCGGCUAACUCCGUGCCAGCAGCCGCGGUAAUACGGAGGAUCCGAGCGUUAUCCGGAUUUAUUGGGUUUAAAGGGAGCGUAGGUGGACUGGUAAGUCAGUUGUGAAAGUUUGCGGCUCAACCGUAAAAUUGCAGUUGAUACUGUCAGUCUUGAGUACAGUAGAGGUGGGCGGAAUUCGUGGUGUAGCGGUGAAAUGCUUAGAUAUCACGAAGAACUCCGAUUGCGAAGGCAGCUCACUGGACUGCAACUGACACUGAUGCUCGAAAGUGUGGGUAUCAAACAGGAUUAGAUACCCUGGUAGUCCACACAGUAAACGAUGAAUACUCGCUGUUUACGAUAUACAGUAAGCGGCCAAGCGAAAGCAUUAAGUAUUCCACCUGGGGAGUACGCCGGCAACGGUGAAACUCAAAGGAAUUGACGGGGGCCCGCACAAGCGGAGGAACAUGUGGUUUAAUUCGAUGAUACGCGAGGAACCUUACCCGGGCUUAAAUUGCAGUGGAAUGAUGUGGAAACAUGUCAGUGAGCAAUCACCGCUGUGAAGGUGCUGCAUGGUUGUCGUCAGCUCGUGCCGUGAGGUGUCGGCUUAAGUGCCAUAACGAGCGCAACCCUUAUCUUCAGUUACUAACAGGUUAUGCUGAGGACUCUGGAGAGACUGCCGUCGUAAGAUGUGAGGAAGGUGGGGAUGACGUCAAAUCAGCACGGCCCUUACGUCCGGGGCUACACACGUGUUACAAUGGGGGGUACAGAAGGCAGCUAGCGGGUGACCGUAUGCUAAUCCCAAAAUCCUCUCUCAGUUCGGAUCGAAGUCUGCAACCCGACUUCGUGAAGCUGGAUUCGCUAGUAAUCGCGCAUCAGCCACGGCGCGGUGAAUACGUUCCCGGGCCUUGUACACACCGCCCGUCAAGCCAUGGGAGCCGGGGGUACCUGAAGUACGUAACCGCAAGGAUCGUCCUAGGGUAAAACUGGUGACUGGGGCU